GCUGGAAGUUUGGAGGGGUGUUUGGUCGUGCCGGGGCGUUCCCGACAGAUUGUGUCCGUCCCGUCGCCGCCCCUGACUUCCUGUCCCUCCCGGCCGACCGCAGGGCGGAGCUUAAAGGAGGAGCGGGGCGUGUUGCCAUGACGUCAGCUAUGGCUGUCGCCGUGGCGUCCAGCGCGGCCGCUCACGAGAUAGAUCCCACCCUGGAGGGGUUUGAUGAGGUCGUGGAGGUCGAUGAGGUCGUUCUGGACACGCAGUAUGACAUGGUGGAGUUCGCAAAGAGAUAUUACAGACCAGCUGCCAAGGGUGCCUCUGUGAAGUCCAAGAAGCCCAAAGAUACCAGAGAUCCCUUUGAAAUGGUCAGGUUCUCCAAGGUAACACUUUAUAACACAUUAUAACACAUUAUAACACUUUAUAAUACAUUAUAACAC
rnacentral:lncRNA from 1 species